GAGUUUGAUCCUGGCUCAGAUUGAACGCUGGCGGCAGGCCUAACACAUGCAAGUCGAGCGGAUGACGGGAGCUUGCUCCUUGAUUCAGCGGCGGACGGGUGAGUAAUGCCUAGGAAUCUGCCUGGUAGUGGGGGACAACGUUUCGAAAGGAACGCUAAUACCGCAUACGUCCUACGGGAGAAAGCAGGGGACCUUCGGGCCUUGCGCUAUCAGAUGAGCCUAGGUCGGAUUAGCUAGUUGGUGGGGUAAUGGCUCACCAAGGCGACGAUCCGUAACUGGUCUGAGAGGAUGAUCAGUCACACUGGAACUGAGACACGGUCCAGACUCCUACGGGAGGCAGCAGUGGGGAAUAUUGGACAAUGGGCGAAAGCCUGAUCCAGCCAUGCCGCGUGUGUGAAGAAGGUCCUCGGAUUGUAAAGCACUUUAAGUUGGGAGGAAGGGCAGUAAGUUAAUACCUUGCUGUUUUGACGUUACCGACAGAAUAAGCACCGGCUAACUCUGUGCCAGCAG
rnacentral:rRNA from 1 species